UACGGAGGGUGCAAGCGUUAAUCGGAAUUACUGGGCGUAAAGCGUGCGCAGGCGGUUUGUUAAGUCUGUUGUGAAAUCCCCGAGCUCAACUUGGGAAUUGCAAUGGAUACUGGCAGGCUGGAGUAUGGUAGAGGAAGGUGGAAUUCCCGGUGUAGCAGUGAAAUGCGUAGAGAUCGGGAGGAGCACCAGUGGCGAAGGCGGCCUUCUGGACCAAUACUGACGCUCAUGCACGAAAGCGUGGGGAGCAAACAGG
rnacentral:rRNA from 1 species